AACACUGUAACCCGGCACUCGGAGAGAAGAAGCAGCUCACACUGCCCAGAGCCUACCUCACUGCACAUCAGAUGACUCCCUGGCUUCUACACACAGUUGGAGUUCCGCUUGAAACCUGGAUUUAGAGGGGUUCUCUGGCCGCCAUGGCACUCAAUCAUACCACCUAGAGUGGACUGGCCGAGACCAGACUGGGUACCAAGCAGAGAAGUGCAGAGGAAAGCACUGGGAGAGCACCAGAAUUGGAAAUAGAGCGGCCAUUUGGAUUUGGGCAGGAAGCAGCCGAGCACAGCUUUGGAUCCUUCUUUAGGGAAAUCGAGUUAUGGAUUUAUGGUCCCGGUCAAGCUCAGCCCAUCCCCAGGCAGGGGCGGGCUCAGCGAGCAGCAAGAGUUCUGGUGGCGGCGGCGGCGGCAGUAGCAGCGGCAGCGGUAGCAGCGGCAGCGGUAGCAGCGGCAGCGGCAGCUUGGUCCUCUGACUCUCUUCGGUGACGGGUAUUCUUGGGUGGAUAAUACGGAUUACGUUGUUAUUGCUUAAGAAUACGCGUAGUCGAGGAGAGUACCAGCGGCAGGGGGGCAGCGGCCGCCCUCCCCAGCCCACCAGCUGGCCACUAAACGCCCGUGGUUGCCAAGGUA
rnacentral:lncRNA from 10 species